UACGGAGGGGGCUAGCGUUGUUCGGAAUUACUGGGCGUAAAGCGCACGUAGGCGGCUUUGCAAGUUAGAGGUGAAAGCCCAGGGCUCAACCCUGGAAUUGCCUUUAAAACUGCAUCGCUAGAAUUGUGGAGAGGUAAGUGGAAUUCCGAGUGUAGAGGUGAAAUUCGUAGAUAUUCGCAAGAACACCAGUGGCGAAGGCGGCUCACUGGCCCGGUACUGACGCUGGGGUGCGAAAGCGUGGGGAGCAAACAGG
rnacentral:rRNA from 1 species